UCAGUACUAUUAAGUACAUUCACAUUGUUGUGCAACCAACCUCCAGAGCCCUUUUCAUCUUGCAAAAUUGAAUAUCUACACCCAUUAAAAAGCAGCUCUUCAUUCUUCCCUCCUCCCAGGUCCUGGCAACCACCAGAAGAAACCGACUACCAGAAACCAUUCUGCUUUCUGUCUCUAUGAAAAUGACUACUCUAAGUACCUUAUAUGAGUGGAAUCAUCCAUCCUUUCAACAGCCCUGUGAGGUAGAUACGAUUGCUGCCGUCUAAGAGGGCAGGAAACUGGGACACCGCAGUGAUUUGACAAAUGUUUCCAGGCCAGAGUUCAAAGCCUAGAGCACUAGUGUGAAGAUGUAGAGCUUGGAGUUGUAGCAGCCACUGCAUGACAAUGAGGUGACAAACCUAAGGACAAGAAGCCUAAAGGAUGUUAGAAAGAGGAUGUGUCUUGAUGACAGCAGAGAUCACUGAGCCCCAAAACCAGCUCCAGGACUGCGGACUUCCAGACUUCUUGUUACUGCAGAUAAACCAAGGUCUACAAGGCUUAAGCCACCGUUGCUCAGGAAUUCUGUUACUUGCAGCCAAAUAUAUCCUAACUGAAUUAUUCCCCAGCUGGGUUUUAAGUUCCUUGAAGCAGGGAUACUGUUUUAAAUUUCUUUGUAUCUGUCAUAAUACUAUGGAAGGUUUUCAUCCAUAGGGUAGGCACAAAUGUAUUGAAUUAAUACAUGAAUAGACAGAAGAAUAAAUA